rnacentral:rRNA from 1 species
CUACGGGGCGCACCAGUAACGAAUAUUGCACAAUGGGCGAAAGCCUGAUGCAGCAACGCCGCGUGUAGGAUGAAGCUCCUUGGAGUGUAAACUACUGUCAGGGGUCAGAAAGUGCGCUUAGGCGUAUUGAUCACCCCCAGAGGAAGUCACGGCUAACUUCGUGCCAGCAGCCGCGGUAAUACGAAGGUGGCGAGCGUUGUUCGGAAUUAUUGGGCUUAAAGAGCACGUAGGCGGAUAUGCAAGUGUCUUGUGAAAACCCCCGGCUUAACCGGGGAAUUGCUUGGCAAACUGCAUGUCUUGAGUCAAGUAGGGGUACAUGGAACUCUUAGUGGAGCGGUGGAAUGCGUAGAUAUUAAGAGGAACGCCAAUGGUGAAGACAGUGUACUGGGCUUGUACUGACGCUGAGGUGCGAAAGCGUGGGGAGCGAACGGGAUUAGAUACCCGUGUAGUC